rnacentral:rRNA from 1 species
UACGUAGGGUGCGAGCGUUGUCCGGAAUUAUUGGGCGUAAAGGGCUCGUAGGCGGUCUGUUGCGUCGGGAGUGAAAACUCAGGGCUUAACCCUGAGCCUGCUUCCGAUACGGGCAGACUAGAGGUAUGCAGGGGAGAACGGAAUUCCUGGUGUAGCGGUGAAAUGCGCAGAUAUCAGGAGGAACACCAAUAGCGAAGGCAGCUCGCUGGGACGUACUGACACUGAGGCGCGAAAGCGUGGGGAGCGAACAGG